AUGAACGCUGGCGGCGUGCCUAAUACAUGCAAGUCGAGCGAACAGACGAGGAGCUUGCUCCUCUGACGUUAGCGGCGGACGGGUGAGUAACACGUGGAUAACCUACCUAUAAGACUGGGAUAACUUCGGGAAACCGGAGCUAAUACCGAAUAAUAUAUUGAACCGCAUGGUUCAAUAGUGAAAGACGGUUUUGCUGUCACUUAUAGAUGGAUCCGCGCCGCAUUAGCUAGUUGGUAAGGUAACGGCUUACCAAGGCAACGAUGCGUAGCCGACCUGAGAGGGUGAUCGGCCACACUGGAACUGAGACACGGUCCAGACUCCUACGGGAGGCAGCAGUAGGGAAUCUUCCGCAAUGGGCGAAAGCUUGACGGAGCAACGCCGCGUGAGUGAUGAAGGUCUUCGGAUCGUAAAACUCUGUUAUUAGGGAAGAACAAAUGUGUAAGUAACUAUGCACGUCUUGACGGUACCUAAUCAGAAAGCCACGGCUAACUACGUG
rnacentral:rRNA from 1 species